rnacentral:rRNA from 1 species
GUGUCAGCAGCCGCGGUAAUACGUAGGGGGCGAGCGUUGUCCGGAUUUAUUGGGCGUAAAGAGCUCGUAGGCGGUUUGGUAAGUCGGGUGUGAAAUCUCCAGGCUCAACCUGGAGGGGUCAUUCGAUACUGCCAUGACUAGAGUUCGGUAGGGGUGUGUGGAAUUCCUGGUGGAGCGGUGAAAUGCGCAGAGAUCAGGAGGAACACCCGUAGCGAAGGCGGCACACUGGGCCGAUACUGACACUGAGGAGCGAAAGCGUGGGGAGCGAACAGGAUUAGAAACCCUCGUAGUCC